UAACUCGACAAAUUUAAUUUUGAUAUUAAGCGCUCACCAGCUAUUCCUCAGUUGUACAAUAUAGCUAAACGUUUACAAACAUUUUCAGCGUAGAGAAAUAAGAAGAACAGGAGACUGAAUACUUCUUUCAUGGUUCCCGAAAAAAACUGUUGUGAGUUGUGUGAGGUAAUGGAAAAGUCUUUUAUGUCCAGUAAACCUGAGGUAUAGAAAUACCAUACUUACAGAAUGUGACAGAGAAAGAAGAGAAGGAAAAAAGACUAAAAGACUGAUCACAGCGUUCCUGCAGCAAGCUCACAAGUUGAUGUCUCGUACAUCGGUUGGGGUGCUGGACUGGUCCUGGUCAUCAAGUGCUUUGCUGCGAGGGCCACCCUGUUCCUGCUGCUGUUGUUUCUGCUGCUGCCGGCGACCCUCCCUCAGUCUGAGUCAAUCCUGAGGUUCCUGGGGAGUUCUUGAGCAACCUCAGGGAAGAAGAGAGAAGCCUGAGGGAACAAGGGUGGUGUACUGGAUCCUAUUACCACCUAUGGUGAUGUUCGGUGCAGGCUUGGCUGGGAGAACCAGCCCCACAAAGGCUUCUGAUUAUGGGAAAGUCGUCAUGCCCUGGAGCAUCUGGGAGGCGUGAGAAGAGGGGAUAAGAUAUGAAAACAUGACAUGCUUCACUGUUUGGCUCGGCUGGAACAAAACACUCCUCACGUUUUCUCACCCUUUUCUCAUCGCUAUGUUUGAUCUCCUAAAGGUGGUCCACCUCUAAGAGCAGGAACAGCAUAAUCAAUGGCUCAACAGCACACAGGAAUGUUCUUAACUAUACAACUGCCUUUUGAAGUGUCACUGCAUUCAUGGUUAGCCACUGAUAUGCCCACCAAACAUACCAGGCAAGCACAUAAGGCUUCCAGUGAAAUUCUCUCCAUUACACAUCGCUAUUUCAGUCCACAUAGUUUCUCAUGAAUGUAAUGAGAUGGCAUCUGAUAAUUUGCCUGCAACAAGAACCUGAAUAAAGUUGCCAUAGAUACUAAACCCACAGAAGUCGGCUUUGAUUUCAAGUUUUGCAAGGAAUAAACAUGGAUCUUGCAACACAUCACUUAUUGAAGUGAUGAUGCAAGGUAUCAGCACCAACUUGACUAGGCAGUGGAUCUUUCAUCCCUCAUACUUAACACCAAUGGAAGACACAUACAAGUUGACAAACACUUUCUGGCUACUCUACUAAGUUAAUGUACAAAUGCAUGUUGAGAAGAUUUCAUGGGAUGAGUUCUAUGGAGCAUUGUACAAAUUAGGAGUUAAAAAUGCUUUGCAGGCAUUUAUUCAUUUCUAGACAUAAUCUACUGUACAUUGAAUACACUACCUGUUGCACAGAGGGCGAUGAAAGUUUGCACAUGUUUACGGAUCAGGUCCAGCUUAUCCUCAGGCAGCGGAAGUUUCCUCAUAAUGUGUUCAAUAAAGUCAUUGGGAGUGACAGCAGCCAGGUUCCACUUCAAUUUGCCCAGGACAACCAGCUCCCAUUCCUGUAAAAAGGUUUGAGGAAAGAAGGAAAAUCACUAUGGAUCCAAACCUAAAUAAAUUGCAUGAUCUGAAUCCAUUUGCAGUAUUUAGAUCUGUACAUUCAACUGGAGAGACAAAUUGCAUCCUCUCAGUGGCUUCCUGUCUCUAAAUGUUUUCUUUUGAUACAUUAGACAUUGACAAGAUCUAAAUAUCAUCUUGUGAAGACACUGGAUGUUGGGGUAACAUUCUAUAUCAACCAUUCAAAUAGAAGGUGUAAAAAAGUUAUUUACUAGAGAUGAGGUACUAAAUAUGUUUAAACUCUGCUGUUACACAUUCAAAUGUUGUUGCUAUACAUUUGAACCAGUUUAGAUCACACAAAAUCUAGCCUCAAGUUCCAGGACCUCCAGGACAUGGUUUGGCCUUAGCUAUGCAAAGCUACAAGCGGAAAUCCUGAAAGCUAAAAGGCUGAAUUGCAGGCACACUUGAGUAGAAAAAUGGGUCACUCAGAUUGCCUAGUCACUUCACAGAGACUGUCCAGCAUCAGGGGAGGUGCCUGAUGUGAACAUGAAGCCUGAUGACAUAUUGGAGCCACAAUCACUCAAAACCAUUGACUCCUGGUACACCAAGAGGGGUAUAAUGGAAUGUAAACUACGAGCAGAGGCAUUCUCCAAAAGAAAACCAAUUACACGCUAAUGUGAAAAUGAGCCUUUGCGUUCUGUCACUUUGGAUCUGUAAAGUUUGGGCAGCAAAAAUGUGCAUCUUCAUUUUGGUGUGUUGCUUCGCUCUUAAAGAGAAAGUUUACCUCAAAAUGAAAAUUGUCAACAACAACAACAAAAGAUAUGUCUCUGUUAUUUUCAUACAGUGAAUGUCCAUGGGGUCCAAUCAAUGUUGUUACUUUGAUUGUUUGGACAAAAACAGCUGAAACAUUCCUCGACAUAUCUUUUGUGUGUGUGUGUAUGUGUUCUGCAGAAGAAAGAAAGCCAUACAGGUUUGAAACAAAAUGAGGGUGUGUAAAUGAUGACAGAAUUUUUCAUUUUUGGGUUACUGUCCUAAUUAAGUCCAGGAACAGUUCUGGCAACAAUUGAAGGCUCAAAACUACAUAUAUUAGCAAAUAUUGUGUACUGUAUUUGUGUACAUCUCCAUCUUUGGUCAUAUUCUGAGCACACUGUUGAACAUUUAUGAGGCCAUAAAUGACCACAAACACCAGUUUUAAGUAACCUAAGGACAACAUAUUGUCUUCUGUGGCUAUCGACUCAGCAGUCCAAUGUCACCUCACCAGUGCAGUGAGGCCAGCCCUAAAAGUUCAGUGACACUCUUGCAACACUGCCUUCAUGCAGGAACCCACUUCCUCCUUUUGAGCCCUCCAGUCAUACCUCCAGCCUGUCACUGCGGUUUCAUUUACAAGAACUUCUUGCCAGCUAACGAGGACAAAAAUGAAGAUGUGACUGUGACAGCUGAUCUUCGGUUUCCUGCUUCUUUAGGACUUUGCAGACCAGCAGAAGCUCCACAACAAAAUAACACAAUGCCAGGCUGAGGGGGGAAAAAACAGGAGGAUGUCCACAGCAGCAAUUUGCUGAUGACUCAUGAAUAAAAUAAUUUUUAUCUUUGGCCUGAGCUACAAGAGCACUGCCCAUUUCCACCAUAAAGACAACAAAUAGUAUAAGAGCUGAGGAAAAACUCACCAAGUGCAAGUGUACUAUAGUCAGAUGUUUUUAUGCCACACUGUACUGUUUUUCCCCUUGACAGUAAUGAGUAAUUUAACAGCAUAUUUUGCUUUAGUGUCUACAGUUUUUUCCUCAAUUUACUCAUAUAGUAAACCUAUGCAUAUAGAAAUGAGAAGAAGCUGAAUGAUGAUAAUCCAAAGAUGACGACAAGUAUUCAACAGACUGUAUCUCUCAUUUGAAAGUCACUUUAAUUCACUUGACUGUAAGACAAUAUUCAAGCGACAUAUAAAGGUGGAACAAGACCUCAGCCUUGAUGUAGCUGUGGGUUGCAUAGUUGCCACUAGAUGGCGUAAUAGCCCUGUGAUGCAUGGAAACACACUCGAAUACCCUUUAGUUGAUAUUUGAAUGUGGAGAACAUACAUCAGACGGCAGAAUAUUUUUGUCAAACAGAACCUAGACUUUGCUUUAGACUACUUUUAGUUCUUAUGUGGCUGAUUUGUAAACAUGCACAAUAUGAAAAAUGAUUCCAUCACAAAUUGCAGUAAGCUACAUUAGAUUUAAAUGACAUUAAUACGAUUUAGUGUGCAGUAUACACUGUAGAUAUUAAUGCAAUCAUGAACAUUUAGCAAUUCAUAUUUAGGGACAAUUGUGGAGAAAGUAUGUAAACAAUUAUCUAUCAUUUCAUACAGAUAAGUUGGUAAGUUUUGGUAUGCAAAGUGUUUAUUAGGUGCUUACCAGCAG